rnacentral:rRNA from 1 species
GACGAACGCUGGCGGCGUGCCUAAUACAUGCAAGUCGAGUGAGCGGCGGACGGGUGAGUAACACGUAAGGAACCUACCGAUAAGCGGGGGACAACAUCCGGAAACGGGUGCUAAUACCGCAUACUUAUCGAUGGCCUUGCGGUGCAUUAGCUCGUUGGUGGGGUAACGGCCUACCAAGGCAAUGAUGCAUAGCCGACCUGAGAGGGUAAGCGGCCACAGUGGGCCUGAUACCCGGCCCAAACUCCUCCGGGGGGCAGCAGUAGGGAAUCUGCCGCAAGGGGCGCAAGCCUGACGGAGCAACGCCGCGUGAGGAAAGAAGGUUUUCGGAUCGUAAAGCUCUGUGGUAAGAGAAACGGUAUCUUACCAGAAAGCCAAGGCUAACUACGUGCCAGCAGCCGCGGUAAUAC